rnacentral:lncRNA from 1 species
AAGAUCAAAUCUUUGAAAGGACUUAAAUUUAGGAACGGAUGGAGUAUAUUUUGCACUGCUGUUUUUAGAGAAGAAUAUAAAAUAGGAUUAAAGGAGACAUGCAAGUAAUGGAGCAGGGAAAUGAUCUUGUCCUAUUCUAUACAGCUUUGCAUUGCAAGUGUAGACCAUACAUAGUAGGAAAAUGACCACAGUGCAAACACAUAUUCACAAAGGACACUAAACACAUAAUUCAAAUACGUCGUUUGGAUUAAAAUAUGCAAGUUCACAUCAUGAUAGCCAACUUUCACUACAACUCUCUUUCAAAUUGUUUGUCCUGUGAUGUGGCAAAGAUAUUCUCAUACGCUUGCAAGGAUCAUAAACCACCAUGAUUUCCCAUCAUCGAUUAAAAAGUUCCUCUACAGUAUUUGGUCAUCCUGUGCACAAAUCAUAUAUAUGUAAAUCUCAAAUGAAUGAUUGAGAUGGAACUAUAACAUCAAAACUAUAAUUGUCGAAUGAUUGAUAAUGUGAAUCGCACAAUCAGAAUAACAAAGGAGAUAAAAAAAACAUUCGACACUCGAUACCCUUUAGGUACAAAUGCCACCCGCUCAUCACCCAAGUUCACAAGAACAGCUCCAAUGUGUGACCAAACGCGACUCGGCUCCAGCCUGCAGGCAUCCAAAGUGAGAUGGUGUGACAGCUUCAUGUUGCGGAAAGUAGUGGCUACU